AUUGAACGCUGGCGGCAGGCCUAACACAUGCCAGUCGAGCGGAUGAAGGGAGCUUGCUCCUGGAUUCAGCGGCGGACGGGUGAGUAAUGCCUAGGAAUCUGCCUGGUAGUGGGGGAUAACGUCCGGAAACGGGCGCUAAUACCGCAUACGUCCUGAGGGAGAAAGUGGGGGAUCUUCGGACCUCACGCUAUCAGAUGAGCCUAGGUCGGAUUAGCUAGUUGGUGGGGUAAAGGCCUACCAAGGCGACGAUCCGUAACUGGUCUGAGAGGAUGAUCAGUCAGAGGGGAAUGGGAACACGGUGAAAACGACGAGGGAGCGCGGGAGGGGUGAAUAGGGUGGACGGGGGGAAAGGGGGAUCGGGCCGGGGGGCGUGUGUGAAGGAGGUUUGGGGAUGGUAAAGGAUUUUAAGUGGGGAGGAAGGGAAGUAAGUUAAUUCCUUGGUGUUUUGGCGUUACAAAGAGAAUAAGCACCGGCAAACUUCGUGCCAGCGGGCGCGGUAAUA
rnacentral:rRNA from 1 species